GAAAUGCGAUAAUUAAUGUGAAUUGCAGAAUUCAGUGAAUCAUCGAGUCUUUGAACGCAGAUUGCGCCCCUGGUAUUCCGGGGGGCAUGCCUGUCCGAGCGUCAUUGCUGCCCUCAAGCACGGCUUGUGUGUUGGGCUUCCGUCCCUGGCAACGGGGACGGGCCCAAAAGGCAGUGGCGGCACCAUGUCUGGUCCUCGAGCGUAUGGGGCUUUGUCACCCGCUCCCGUAGGUCCAGCUGGCAGCUAGCCUCGCAACCAAUCUUUUUAACCAGGUUGACCUCGGAUCAGGUAGGGAUACCCGCUGAACUUAAGC
rnacentral:misc_RNA from 1 species